rnacentral:tRNA from 2 species
GGGAAUAUAGUAUAAUGGUAUUACAGUUAGGUUGCAUCUAACUUAUUUAGGUUCAAAUCCUAAUAUUUCCA